rnacentral:rRNA from 1 species
GAUGAACGCUGGCGGCGUGCCUAAUACAUGCAAGUCGAGCGAACAGAUGAGGAGCUUGCUCCUCUGACGUUAGCGGCGGACGGGUGAGUAACACGUGGAUAACCUACCUAUAAGACUGGGAUAACUUCGGGAAACCGGAGCUAAUACCGGAUAAUAUAUUGAACCGCAUGGUUCAAUAGUGAAAGACGGUUUUGCUGUCACUUAUAGAUGGAUCCGCGCCGCAUUAGCUAGUUGGUAAGGUAACGGCUUACCAAGGCGACAAUGCGUAGCCGACCUGAGAGGGUGAUCGGCCACACUGGAACUGAGACACGGUCCAGACUCCUACGGGAGGCAGCAGUAGGGAAUCUUCCGCAAUGGGCGAAAGCUUGACGGAGCAACGCCGCGUGAGUGAUGAAGGUCUUCGGAUCGUAAAACUCUGUUAUUAGGGAAGAACAAAUGUGUAAGUAACUAUGCACGUCUUGACGGUACCUAAUCAGAAAGCCACGGCUAACUACGUG